GAACGAAACCUAGAGAGAGAAACUCUUUCUCCCAACGACCAAAGCCCCUUCACGAUUCCACCGUCGUUCGCCGUUCAACGGCCACCAGAGGUCCACCGAGAGGCGGCGCCGCCGAUCAUCUUCGCGUCUCUUUCCACCGAUCACCUUCGCGUCUCUUCCCACCGGUCAUCUUCGCGUCUCUUCCAGCGUCAGUCGUCCCUCGUCCCGUUUGCACCGUUGACGACCCAGAGGCUCUGCCAGCGCCGAUCCCGAUAACGGUCCCCCCUCCGUGGUGUCUUCUUCCGCCGGCUUGGCUUGCUUUCCCAAAGAAAAAAAAGGACUUUCAAUUAAGCCAAAGCGGGGUGAUGCUUUACUUUUUUGGAGCAUGAAGCUAGAUGCAAAAUUAAAUCCAUCAAGCUUACAUGUAGGUUGUCCAGUAAUUAAGGGUAAUAAGUGGUCAAGUACCAAAUGAAUGUGUCAACGAAUACAAAGCUUGAGUAUACAUUGCUAUAGGUUUCUCAGAAUUCAUCACACCAAUUGUGUACAAUUUGAAUCUCAGCUAAAGCUUUGCGUGAUAAUGCUUCAGAUUUGGAAGGAAAUAUUCUAACAUAAUGUGGCAUUCUGUAGUUUUAAAAAUUGCGUGAUAUGAAUUUAUUUUGUACUAAAUUACAAAAUUGACUAAAUAAUUUAUUAGUAGUGUGUAUAUGAUUAGAAUUUUGAAUUACACUUUUUUAAUUAUAUAUUAUAUUAAA